GCCCACAUAGCUCAGUCGGUAGAGCGCGUUCUUGGUAAGAACGAGGUCUCCGGUUCAAGUCCGGAUGUGGGCU
rnacentral:tRNA from 2 species